rnacentral:rRNA from 1 species
UACGUAGGGUGCAGGCGUUAAUCGGAAUUACUGGGCGUAAAGCGUGCGCAGGCGGCUCCUUAAGUCAGAUGUGAAAUCCCCGGGCUUAACCUGGGAACUGCGUUUGAAACUGGGGAGCUAGAGUGUGGAAGAGGGGGGUGGAAUUCCAGGUGUAGCAGUGAAAUGCGUAGAUAUCUGGAGGAACACCGAUGGCGAAGGCAGCCCCCUGGGCUAACACUGACGCUCAUGCACGAAAGCGUGGGGAGCAAACAGG